AUUGAACGCUGGCGGCAGGCCUAACACAUGCAAGUCGAGCGAGCGGCGGACGGGUGAGUAAUGUAUGGGGACUGCCCUAUAGAGGGGGAUAACUCCUCGAAACGGUAGCUAAUACCGCAUACUCUCGGCUAACUCAUAUGGGAGUAGCUAGUAGGUGCGGUAAUGGCUCACACAGGCGACGAUCCCUAGCUGGUCUGAGAGGAUGAUCAGCCACACUGGGACUGAGACACGGCCCAGACUCCGACGGAGGCAGCAGUGGGGAAUAUUGCACAAUGGGCGAAAGCCUGAUGCAGCCAUGCCGCGUGUAUGAAGAAGGCCCUAGGGUUGUAAAGUACUGUCAUUCGGGAGGCGUUACAGAAAGAAGAAGAACCGGCUAACUCCGUGCCAGCAGCCGCGGUAAUAC
rnacentral:rRNA from 1 species